rnacentral:rRNA from 1 species
GAUGAACGCUGACAGAAUGCUUAACACAUGCAAGUCAACUUGAACUUCGGUUUGGGUGGCGGACGGGUGAGUAACGCGUAAAGAACUUGCCUCACAGAUAGGGACAACAUUUGGAAACGAAUGCUAAUACCUGAUAUUAUGAUUAUAUGGCAUCGUAUAAUUAUGAAAGCUAUAUGCGCUGUGAGAGAGCUUUGCGUCACAUUAGCUAGUUGGAGAGGUAACGGCUCACCAAGGCGAUGAUGGGUAGCCGGCCUGAGAGGGUGAUCGGCCACAAGGGGACUGAGACACAGCCCAUACUCCUACGGGAGACAGCAGUGGGGAAUAUUGGACAAUGCACCAGGAGUCUGAUCCAGGCAUUCUGUGUGCACGAUAAAGUUUGUCGGAAUGUAAAAUGCUUUCAAUUAGGAAGAAAAAAAUGACGGUACCAACAGAAGAAGUGACGGCUAAAUACGUG